UACGUAGGCAGCAAGCGUUGUUCGGAAUUACUGGGCGUAAAGGGUGCGUAGGCGGCUUUUUAAGUUUGGUGUGAAAUCUCCGGCUCAACUGGGAGGUGCGCCGAAUACUGAGAAGCUAGAGUGUGGGGAGAGGAAAAGUGGAAUUCCUGGUUGUAGCGGUGAAAUGCGUAGAUAUCAGGAGGAACACCGGUGGUGUAAACGGCUUUCUGGACCAUAACUGACGCUGAGGCACGAAAGCGUGGGUAGCAAACAGG
rnacentral:rRNA from 1 species